AUUCUACUUCGAUGAGUGAGCAAUGAAACAAAUAUCGAGUAAUAUGCAGAGCUCCCUCCCCUUCGAUAUUGCCCUUAAAAUCGUUUCAUCUCUUGAGGUAUUGGAUGUGUGUGCAUUGGGUAGUUGUUCUCGAUUUUGGAGGGAGCUAUGCGGGUUGGAUUGCUUAUGGGAGUCUCUUACCAGAGAAAGAUGGCCUUUGGUUACUUUUCCCAACAAUUCUUCUUCUUCUUCUUCGGAUCCUAUCAUCAUCAAGGGAUGGAGGCAGAUUUACAUAAGGAUGCAUAGAGAGAUGGCGGGUAACGCUACUGCUGUGGUUGAGUUUGUGGAGCAUUGCUCUUCAUCUAAUAAGUCGCUCGCGUUUGGGGACUAUUACAAAGCAGUUGAAGAAUUGUGUUCGAAGCAGCUUGCAUUUAGGGAUGUCCAAAUGUUUCUUUUCAAACCAAAGCUGAAUGUGCUGCUUAACUUGAUUGGUUUGCACUACUGCAUUUUCUGCCUUCAAGUGCAGGCUGGGCAUGUCAUGGAUGCACUCCAAAGUUGCAAAAUUUCAGAGCAACAAGUGUGUGUGAAAUGGUGGAAACUUGGCAGAUGGUUUUAUGGCUUCCGCAUGAGAGAUGAAUUUCAUUCUCGUAUAAUAUCCUUGGCAGAUCUUCUAACAAACAAAGGGGAGGAGGUUUUGGGUGUCCUUUGCCGAGGUGCCAUUCAUGAGUUAUUACGUAUUGAGAUCUGCAUUUCAAAUGUGGCAUCUACUCCUUGGUCUUGGCAAAGCUCACAGCAACAAGAGUAGGAUUGCUGCAAUAAUGGGCUUCUGUAUAUAAUUGUUUAUGCUCUCUUAUGUUGCAACUUCCAAUUGCCAAAGAAGAAGGUGCUUCUCCAAGGUGAUUUAUGUUGUUAAUUCCACAUCGUAUCUCUGAUCCUAUAAAAUCAUGUAAAGAAAUGGCUGCUGAAUGCGGCUAAGAUUAUGGCAUGUUCAUAAUGUUUGGGUCUGAAUGCUUAUUGAUAUUUAUGUAAGUUGACAUGUUUGUUUUCCUCUGGCUUGUCCUCUGUGGAAAAUAAAGGAACUGAAGCUGAAUCCUUGUGCAAAUGUUGAAAUCUUUCAAAAAAUUUAAUUCCAU
rnacentral:misc_RNA from 1 species